UACGUAGGGCGCAAGCGUUAACCGGAAUUACUGGGCGUAAAGCGUGCGUAGGCGGCUCUGCAAGACAGAUGUGAAAUCCCCGGGCUUAACCUGGGAACUGCAUUUGUGACUGCAUGGCUGGAGUGCGGCAGAGGGGGAUGGAAUUCCGCGUGUAGCAGUGAAAUGCGUAGAUAUGCGGAGGAACACCGAUGGCGAAGGCAAUCCCCUGGGCCUGCACUGACGCUCAUGCACGAAAGCGUGGGGAGCAAACAGG
rnacentral:rRNA from 1 species